rnacentral:rRNA from 1 species
AUUGAACGCUGGCGGCAGGCCUAACACAUGCAAGUCGAACGGUAACAGGAAGCAGCUUGCUGCUUUGCUGACGAGUGGCGGACGGGUGAGUAAUGUCUGGGAAACUGCCUGAUGGAGGGGGAUAACUACUGGAAACGGUAGCUAAUACCGCAUAACGUCGCAAGACCAAAGAGGGGGACCUUCGGGCCUCUUGCCAUCGGAUGUGCCCAGAUGGGAUUAGCUAGUAGGUGGGGUAACGGCUCACCUAGGCGACGAUCCCUAGCUGGUCUGAGAGGAUGACCAGCCACACUGGAACUGCGACACGGUCCAGACUCCUACGGGAGGCAGCAGUGGGGAAUAUUGCACAAUGGGCGCAAGCCUGAUGCAGCCAUGCCGCGUGUAUGAAGAAGGCCUUCGGGUUGUAAAGUACUUUCAGCGGGGAGGAAGGGAGUAAAGUUAAUACCUUUGCUCAUUGACGUUACCCGCAGAAGAAGCACCGGCUAACUCCGUG